rnacentral:rRNA from 1 species
GAUGAACGCUGGCGGCGUGCCUAAUACAUGCAAGUCGAGCGAACGGACGAGAAGCUUGCUUCUCUGAUGUUAGCGGCGGACGGGUGAGUAACACGUGGAUAACCUACCUAUAAGACUGGGAUAACUUCGGGAAACCGGAGCUAAUACCGAAUAAUAUUUUGAACCGCAUGGUUCAAAAGUGAAAGACGGUCUUGCUGUCACUUAUAGAUGGAUCCGCGCUGCAUUAGCUAGUUGGUAAGGUAACGGCUUACCAAGGCAACGAUGCAUAGCCGACCUGAGAGGGUGAUCGGCCACACUGGAACUGAGACACGGUCCAGACUCCUACGGGAGGCAGCAGUAGGGAAUCUUCCGCAAUGGGCGAAAGCCUGACGGAGCAACGCCGCGUGAGUGAUGAAGGUCUUCGGAUCGUAAAACUCUGUUAUUAGGGAAGAACAUAUGUGUAAGUAACUGUGCACAUCUUGACGGUACCUAAUCAGAAAGCCACGGCUAACUACGUGCCAGCAGCCGCGGUAAUACGUAGGUGGCAAGCGUUAUCCGGAAUUAUUGGGCGUAAAGCGCGCGUAGGCGGUUUUUUAAGUCUGAUGUGAAAGCCCACGGCUCAACCGUGGAGGGUCAUUGGAAACUGGAAAACUUGAGUGCAGAAGAGGAAAGUGGAAUUCCAUGUGUAGCGGUGAAAUGCGCAGAGAUAUGGAGGAACACCAGUGGCGAAGGCGACUUUCUGGUCUGUAACUGACGCUGAUGUGCGAAAGCGUGGGGAUCAAACAGGAUUAGAUACCCUGGUAGUCCACGCCGUAAACGAUGAGUGCUAAGUGUUAGGGGGUUUCCGCCCCUUAGUGCUGCAGCUAACGCAUUAAGCACUCCGCCUGGGGAGUACGACCGCAAGGUUGAAACUCAAAGGAAUUGACGGGGACCCGCACAAGCGGUGGAGCAUGUGGUUUAAUUCGAAGCAACGCGAAGAACCUUACCAAAUCUUGACAUCCUUUGACAACUCUAGAGAUAGAGCCUUCCCCUUCGGGGGGCAAAGUGACAGGUGGUGCAUGGUUGUCGUCAGCUCGUGUCGUGAGAUGUUGGGUUAAGUCCCGCAACGAGCGCAACCCUUAAGCUUAGUUGCCAUCAUUAAGUUGGGCACUCUAAGUUGACUGCCGGUGACAAACCGGAGGAAGGUGGGGAUGACGUCAAAUCAUCAUGCCCCUUAUGAUUUGGGCUACACACGUGCUACAAUGGACAAUACAAAGGGCAGCGAAACCGCGAGGUCAAGCAAAUCCCAUAAAGUUGUUCUCAGUUCGGAUUGUAGUCUGCAACUCGACUACAUGAAGCUGGAAUCGCUAGUAAUCGUAGAUCAGCAUGCUACGGUGAAUACGUUCCCGGGUCU